ACGCACGCUGGCGGCGUGCCUAAUACCUGCACGUUGAGCGCUGAAGGUUGGUACUUGUACCAACUGGAUGAGCAGCGAACGGGUGAGUAACGCGUGGGGAAUCUGCCUUUGAGCGGGGGACAACAUUUGGAAACGAAUGCUAAUACCGCAUAAAAACUUUAAACACAAGUUUUAAGUUUGAAAGAUGCAAUUGCAUCACUCAAAGAUGAUCCCGCGUUGUAUUAGCUAGUUGGUGAGGUAAAGGCUCACCAAGGCGAUGAUACAUAGCCGACCUGAGAGGGUGAUCGGCCACAUUGGGACUGAGACACGGCCCAAACUCCUACGGGAGGCAGCAGUAGGGAAUCUUCGGCAAUGGACGAAAGUCUGACCGAGCAACGCCGCGGGAGUGAAGAAGGGUUUCGGAUCGUAAAACUCUGUUGGUAGAGAAGAACGUUGGUGAGAGUGGAAAGCUCAUCAAGUGACGGUAACUACACAGAAAGGGACGGCUAACUACGUG
rnacentral:rRNA from 1 species